GUCGAACGGCAGCACGGGAGCUUGCUCCUGGUGGCGAGUGGCGAACGGGUGAGUAAUACAUCGGAACGUGCCCAGGAGUGGGGGAUAACGUAGCGAAAGUUACGCUAAUACCGCAUAUUCUGUGAGCAGGAAAGCGGGGGAUCGCAAGACCUCGCGCUCUUGGAGCGGCCGAUGUCGGAUUAGCUAGUUGGUGAGGUAAAAGCUCACCAAGGCGACGAUCCGUAGCAGGUCUGAGAGGAUGAUCUGCCACACUGGGACUGAGACACGGCCCAGACUCCUACGGGAGGCAGCAGUGGGGAAUUUUGGACAAUGGGGGCAACCCUGAUCCAGCCAUGCCGCGUGAGUGAAGAAGGCCUUCGGGUUGUAAAGCUCUUUCGGCGGGGAAGAAAUGGCAACGGCUAAUAUCCGUUGUUGAUGACGGUACCCGCAUAAGAAGCACCGGCUAACUACGUGCCAGCAGCCGCGGUAAUACGUAGGGUGCGAGCGUUAAUCGGAAUUACUGGGCGUAAAGCGUGCGCAGGCGGUUUCGUAAGACAGACGUGAAAUCCCCGGGCUCAACCUGGGAACUGCGUUUGUGACUGCGAGGCUAGAGUACGGCAGAGGGGGGUAGAAUUCCACGUGUAGCAGUGAAAUGCGUAGAGAUGUGGAGGAAUACCGAUGGCGAAGGCAGCCCCCUGGGUUAGUACUGACGCUCAUGCACGAAAGCGUGGG
rnacentral:rRNA from 1 species